AAUAGAUACCCCGGUAGUCCACGCCGUAAACGAUGAAUGCUAGGUGUUAGGGGUUUCGAUACCCUUGGUGCCGAAGUUAACACAUUAAGCAUUCCGCCUGGGGAGUACGGCCGCAAGGCUGAAACUCAAAGGAAUUGACGGGGACCCGCACAAGCAGUGGAGUAUGUGGUUUAAUUCGAAGCAACGCGAAGAACCUUACCAGGUCUUGACAUCCCCCUGACCGGUACAGAGAUGUACCUUUCCUUCGGGACAGGGGAGACAGGUGGUGCAUGGUUGUCGUCAGCUCGUGUCGUGAGAUGUUGGGUUAAGUCCCGCAACGAGCGCAACCCUUGACUUUAGUUGCCAGCAGGUAAGGCUGGGCACUCUAGAGUGACUGCCGGUGACAAACCGGAGGAAGGUGGGGAUGACGUCAAAUCAUCACGCCCCUUAUGACCUGGGCUACACACGUACUACAAUGGCCGGUACAACGGGAAGCGAAGGAGCGAUCUGGAGCGAAUCCUAUAAAGCCGGUCUCAGUUCGGAUUGCAGGCUGCAACUCGCCUGC
rnacentral:rRNA from 1 species